UUUUGCUAGAAUAUGGAAUGCACAUUAAUAUGAAGGCACAUCUGUUCUUUUAAGUUCUUGCUCAAUUCGUCAUGAAAAAGACUAGCGAACAAGACUAAGAAAGAUAUUGAUAUUGCACCAUGCUCGUAUAGCCUGAAUUAUACACAUAACAGACUAAGAAUUUUGGUGCCUACAUUUACUCCAACAUCCCUACGUUAGCAAGAUAACCUUCGAUAAAAAGAAGCAUUCUAAAUAUCCCUCCGGCAACCAACCUUAAGAAUCACCUCCACCUUGCCAAUGCCGCCCUCUAGAACAUAGCCAGAAUAAAGAAGGAAACCAAAAGCAAAUACUGUUAAAAUCACUCAAAGGGCCAGGCUACCCGCAUUCAUAGAUAGACUUCAAAAAAUGUUAAGCAUUAUGUAGCCACCGGGAAUACUCAAUGAAGAGCACAAUCACCACAAAUCAUCUUAUAAUACCUUUAUCUCGUCGAUUCCU
rnacentral:misc_RNA from 1 species